rnacentral:rRNA from 1 species
UACAGAGGGUGCGAGCGUUAAUCGGAAUUACUGGGCGUAAAGCGCGCGUAGGCGGCUUUGCAAGUCGGGUGUGAAAUCCCCAAGCUUAACUUGGGAACUGCAUUCGAGACUGCAUUGCUAGAGUAUGGGAGAGGGAAGUGGAAUUUCCGGUGUAAGCGGUGAAAUGCGUAGAUAUCGGAAGGAACAUCAGUGGCGAAAGCGACUUCCUGGACCAAUACUGACGCUCAUGAUGCGAAAGCGUGGGGAGCAAACAGG